AUUGAACGCUGGCGGCAGGCCUAACACAUGCAAGUCGAACGAGUGGCGGACGGGUGAGUAAUGUCUGGGAAACUGCCUGAUGGAGGGGGAUAACUACUGGAAACGGUAGCUAAUACCGCAUACCAUCAGAUGUGCCCAGAGGGGAUUAGCUUGUUGGUGGGGUAACGGCUCACCAAGGCGUCGAUCCCUAGCUGGUCUGAGAGGAUGACCGGCCAGACUGGAAAUGAGAACCGGUCCCGACUCCUACGGGAGGCAGCAGUGGGGAAUAGGGCACAAUGGGCGCCAGCCUGAUGCAGCCAUGCCGCGUGUAUGAAUAAGGCCUUCGGGUUGUAAAGUACUUUCAGCGGGGAGGCGUUACCCUCAGAAGAAGCACCGGCUAACUCCGUGCCAGCCGCGGCGGUAAUAC
rnacentral:rRNA from 1 species